GGGAAAGGCGAAAAGAACCCCGGCGAGGGGAGUGAAAAAGAACCUGAAACCGUGUACGUACAAGCAGUGGGAGCACCUUCGGGUGUGACUGCGUACCUUUUGUAUAAUGGGUCAGCGACUUAUAUUCUGUAGCAAGGUUAACCGUAUAGGGGAGCCGAAGGGAAACCGAGUCUUAACUGGGCGUUAAGUUGCAGGGUAUAGACCCGAAACCCGGUGAUCUAGCCAUGGGCAGGUUGAAGGUUGGGUAACACUAACUGGAGGACCGAACCGACUAAUGUUGAAAAAUUAGCGGAUGACCUGUGGCUGGGGGUGAAAGGCCAAUCAAACCGGGAGAUAGCUGGUUCUCCCCGAAAGCUAUUUAGGUAGCGCCUCGUGAACUCAUCUUCGGGGGUAGAGCACUGUUUCGGCUAGGGGGCCAUCCCGGCUUACCAACCCGAUGCAAACUACGAAUACCGAAGAAUGUUAUCACGGGAGACACACGGCGGGUGCUAACGUCCGUCGUGAAGAGGGAAACAACCCAGACCGCCAGCUAAGGUCCCAAAGUCAUGGUUAAGUGGGAAACGAUGUGGGAAGGCACAGACAGCCAGGAUGUUGGCUUAGAAGCAGCCAUCAUUUAAAGAAAGCGUAAUAGCUCACUGGUCGAGUCGGCCUGCGCGGAAGAUGUAACGGGGCUAAACCAUGCACCGAAGCUGCGGCAGCGACACUAUGUGUUGUUGGGUAGGGGAGCGUUCUGUAAGCCGUUGAAGGUGUGCUGUGAGGCAUGCUGGAGGUAUCAGAAGUGCGAAUGCUGACAUAAGUAACGAUAAAGCGGGUGAAAAGCCCGCUCGCCGGAAGACCAAGGGUUCCUGUCCAACGUUAAUCGGGGCAGGGUGAGUCGACCCCUAAGGCGAGGCCGAAAGGCGUAGUCGAUGGGAAACAGGUUAAUAUUCCUGUACUUGGUGUUACUGCGAAGGGGGGACGGAGAAGGCUAUGUCAGCCGGGCGACGGUUGUCCCGGUUUAAGCAUGUAGGCGGAGGUUCCAGGUAAAUCCGGUACCUUGUUAACGCUGAGGUGUGAUGACGAGGCACUACGGUGCUGAAGUGAUAAAUGCCCUGCUUCCAGGAAAAGCCUCUAAGCAUCAGGUAACACGAAAUCGUACCCCAAACCGACACAGGUGGUCAGGUAGAGAAUACCAAGGCGCUUGAGAGAACUCGGGUGAAGGAACUAGGCAAAAUGGUGCCGUAACUUCGGGAGAAGGCACGCUGAUAUGUAGGUGAAGCCCCUGCGGGCGGAGCUGAAAUCAGUCGAAGAUACCAGCUGGCUGCAACUGUUUAUUAAAAACACAGCACUGUGCAAACACGAAAGUGGACGUAUACGGUGUGACGCCUGCCCGGUGCCGGAAGGUUAAUUGAUGGGGUUAGCGGCAACGCGAAGCUCUUGAUCGAAGCCCCGGUAAACGGCGGCCGUAACUAUAACGGUCCUAAGGUAGCGAAAUUCCUUGUCGGGUAAGUUCCGACCUGCACGAAUGGCGUAAUGAUGGCCAGGCUGUCUCCACCCGAGACUCAGUGAAAUUGAACUCGCUGUGAAGAUGCAGUGUACCCGCGGCAAGACGGAAAGACCCCGUGAACCUUUACUAUAGCUUGACACUGAACACUGGUCCUUGAUGUGUAG
rnacentral:rRNA from 1 species